GAAUGAACGCUAGCUACAGGCUUAACACACGCAAGUCGAGGGGCAGCACGGUCUUAGCUCGCUAAGGCCGAAGGCGACCGGCGCACGGGUGAGUAACACGUAUCCAACCUGCCGUCUACUCUUGGACAGCCUUCUGAAAGGAAGAUUAAUACAAGAUGGCAUCAUGAGUCCGCAUGUUCACAUGAUUAAAGGUAUUCCGGUAGACGAUGGGGAUGCGUUCCAUUAGAUAGUAGGCGGGGUAACGGCCCACCUAGUCUUCGAUGGAUAGGGGUUCUGAGAGGAAGGUCCCCCACAUUGGAACUGAGACACGGUCCAAACUCCUACGGGAGGCAGCAGUGAGGAAUAUUGGUCAAUGGGCGAGAGCCUGAACCAGCCAAGUAGCGUGAAGGAUGACUGCCCUAUGGGUUGUAAACUUCUUUUAUAAAGGAAUAAAGUCGGGUAUGGAUACCCGUUUGCAUGUACUUUAUGAAUAAGGAUCGGCUAACUCCGUGCCAGCAGCCGCGGUAAUACGGAGGAUCCGAGCGUUAUCCGGAUUUAUUGGGUUUAAAGGGAGCGUAGAUGGAUGUUUAAGUCAGUUGUGAAAGUUUGCGGCUCAACCGUAAAAUUGCAGUUGAUACUGGAUAUCUUGAGUGCAGUUGAGGCAGGCGGAAUUCGUGGUGUAGCGGUGAAAUGCUUAGAUAUCACGAAGAACUCCGAUUGCGAAGGCAGCCUGCUAAGCUGCAACUGACAUUGAGGCUCGAAAGUGUGGGUAUCAAACAGGAUUAGAUACCCUGGUAGUCCACACGGUAAACGAUGAAUACUCGCUGUUUGCGAUAUACUGCAAGCGGCCAAGCGAAAGCGUUAAGUAUUCCACCUGGGGAGUACGCCGGCAACGGUGAAACUCAAAGGAAUUGACGGGGGCCCGCACAAGCGGAGGAACAUGUGGUUUAAUUCGAUGAUACGCGAGGAACCUUACCCGGGCUUAAAUUGCAGAUGAAUUACGGUGAAAGCCGUAAGCCGCAAGGCAUCUGUGAAGGUGCUGCAUGGUUGUCGUCAGCUCGUGCCGUGAGGUGUCGGCUUAAGUGCCAUAACGAGCGCAACCCUUGUUGUCAGUUACUAACAGGUUCCGCUGAGGACUCUGACAAGACUGCCAUCGUAAGAUGUGAGGAAGGUGGGGAUGACGUCAAAUCAGCACGGCCCUUACGUCCGGGGCUACACACGUGUUACAAUGGGGGGUACAGAGGGCCGCUACCACGCGAGUGGAUGCCAAUCCCCAAAACCUCUCUCAGUUCGGACUGGAGUCUGCAACCCGACUCCUCGAAGCUGGAUUCGCUAGUAAUCGCGCAUUCAGCCUCGGCGCGGUAAAUACGUUUCCCGGGCCA
rnacentral:rRNA from 1 species